UAGUAACGGCGAGUGAAGAGGGAAAAGCUCAAAUUUUGAAUCUGGUGUCUUUGACUCCCGAGUUGUAAUCUAGAGAAGUGUUUUCCGCGUUGGACCGUGUACAAGUUCCCUGGAACGGGGCGUCAUAGAGGGUGAGAAUCCCGUAUAUGCCACGGACUACCAAUGCUCUGUGAUACACUCUCAACGAGUCGAGUUGUUUGGGAAUGCAGCUCAAAAUGGGUGGUAAAUUCCAUCUAAAGCUAAAUAUUGGCGAGAGACCGAUAGCGAACAAGUACCGUGAGGGAAAGAUGAAAAGCACUUUGGAAAGAGAGUGAAACAGUACGUGAAAUUGUUGAAAGGGAAGCGUUUGAAGUCAGUCACGUCUGUCGGAAUUCAGCCUGGCUUCUGCCUGGUGUACUUUCCGUCCGACGGGUCAGCAUCAAUUUUGAUCGAGGGAAAAAGACAUGAGGAAUGUGGCUGUCUUCGGGCAGUGUUAUAGGCUCGUGUUGUAUGUCUCGGUUGGGAUUGAGGAACGCAGCGCGCCUAUUGGCCGGGGGUUCGCGCCCCUCGGUACGCGCUUAGGA
rnacentral:rRNA from 1 species